rnacentral:rRNA from 1 species
UACGUAGGGUGCAAGCGUUAUCCGGAAUUAUUGGGCGUAAAGAGCUCGUAGGCGGUUUGUCGCGUCUGCUGUGAAAACUGGGGGCUCAACUCCCAGCCUGCAGUGGGUACGGGCAGACUAGAGUGAUGUAGGGGAGACUGGAAUUCCUGGUGUAGCGGUGAAAUGCGCAGAUAUCAGGAGGAACACCGAUGGCGAAGGCAGGUCUCUGGGCAUUAACUGACGCUGAGGAGCGAAAGCAUGGGGAGCGAACAGG